UACGUAGGUGGCAAGCGUUGUUCGGAUUAACUGGGCGUAAAGGGUGCGUAGGCGGGGUUUUAAGUCAGGGGUGAAAUGCCGAGGCUCAACUUCGGAACUGCCUUUGAUACUGGAACUCUUGAGUCUGGGAGAGGUGAGUGGAACUGCGAGUGUAGAGGUGAAAUUCGUAGAUAUUCGCAAGAACACCAGUGGCGAAGGCGGCUCACUGGCCCGGAACUGACGCUGAGGCACGAAAGCGUGGGGAGCAAACAGG
rnacentral:rRNA from 1 species